rnacentral:rRNA from 1 species
UACAGGGGGGGGCAAGCGUUGUUCGGAAUUACUGGGCGUAAAGGGCUCGUAGGCGGCCAAUUAAGUCCGACGUGAAAUCCCCAGGCUUAACCUGGGAACUGCGUCGGAUACUGAUUGGCUUGAAUCCGGGAGAGGGAUGCGGAAUUCCAGGUGUAGCGGUGAAAUGCGUAGAUAUCUGGAGGAACACCGGUGGCGAAGGCGGCAUCCUGGACCGACAUUGACGCUGAGGCGCGAAAGCCAGGGGAGCAAACGGGG